GAGAAAUCUACCCUCAACUACAUCAAGCGACAAUCCAACCCUUUGCCAUCGUCAAACUCAUUCCCUCCACCGAUGAAAACAAAUACAUAUAAGACGGCCCUAAAAUACAAAUACAGAGGAAACAACAAGCUGAAAACAAAAAGAACAAGAAGCUGAAAAUAGUUCAGAAGUACGGACCAAUAGGUAUGCGCAGAGAAAUUCAUAGCAACAAGUAUGCAAAUUGCAGAAAAUACAGACCAACAGGUUGUUGGUGGUUGCUUUUUCAUCAUGAUCAGAAGGUGAAGAUAGAAAUUACCCUUAUCAAUACCUAUUGUGUCUUCCUCAUUAUCACAAGAUAUAGAUAGACUUCUAUUUUUUUUCCAAACCUCAUCUUGCUUGACAAACCUUUUAUUUAUCCA